rnacentral:rRNA from 1 species
GUGCCAGCAGCCGCGGUAAUACGUAGGUGGCAAGCGUUAUCCGGAAUUAUUGGGCGUAAAGCGCGCGUAGGCGGUUUCUUAAGUCUGAUGUGAAAGCCCACGGCUCAACCGUGGAGGGUCAUUGGAAACUGGGAAACUUGAGUGCAGAAGAGGAAAGUGGAAUUCCAUGUGUAGCGGUGAAAUGCGCAGAGAUAUGGAGGAACACCAGUGGCGAAGGCGACUUUCUGGUCUGUAACUGACGCUGAUGUGCGAAAGCGUGGGGAUCAAACAGGAUUAGAUACCCUGGUAGUCC